CUUGAAGAUUCAUCAAUGAUGCUAAAAAUAAAAGAACUUCUUGUUUGGUUUAGUCACACUCUUUAUAGCUAUGGCUUUAGUGUAAAUGCUUUGUAUGAUGUCUUACUACAAAUGAGAGAUCAGUAUAAUGAGAUGCUUACAAAAAAUUGGAGACCUGUAUUUGAGUAUAUU
rnacentral:lncRNA from 1 species